GGGGGUAUAGCUCAUUGGUAGAGCAUUUGACUGCAAAUGAAACUAGGCAAAGUUAAAUGUACUAAUAUUAUAAUGCUUUGACCACUUCCCCCU
rnacentral:tRNA from 1 species